UUCCCUCUGGCUGCUGAGCCGUUGCCCAGGCAACUGAGGGGCUUGUCCACCUGUAACAGCUGGUAACUCACCAGCCCAAAAGGUGUAGGGUUCCUUAAGCCAGGGUCUCACUCAGAUCUUGUAUCUUCACAUCGCCUCUAAGUAGUAACUCUGGUAACUGCUGUUUGUUCAGAAAGUUGGAAAUACAAAACGAAGGAUUCAGCGGGGCUGCAUUCCUUCUGGAGACCUGAGGAGAAUCCUUUUGAUGAAUGCUAGCUAUAUGCAAAAUCUUGGAUUUGCGUAUGACUUCAAGAACAUCUACCAGCACUGUAUGAGAGAGAAAAAGCCAGCCUCCUCCAAUAACUUGGCUUAAACAAGCUAUUUAUGUUUUCUUUUCAGAGGACUCUGUUCAGCAAGAUGUAUGCAAAUGGUUCCCUACCUUAACAUAACCGAGGGUUCCAAAACUUAUGCAGAACCUCGAGGUUCCCAGAUCCAGCCCGAAGGCUGUCUUAGGUAACGGCCGGC
rnacentral:lncRNA from 1 species